AACGAACGCUGGCGGCAGGCUUAACACAUGCAAGUCGAACGCCCCGCAAGGGGAGUGGCAGACGGGUGAGUAACGCGUGGGAACAUGCCCAAAGGUACGGAACAACUCCGGGAAACUGGAGCUAAUACCGUAUGUGACCGAGAGGUGAAAGAUUUAUCGCCUUUGGAUUGGCCCGCGUUGGAUUAGCUAGUUGGUGGGGUAAAGGCCUACCAAGGCGACGAUCCAUAGCUGGUCUGAGAGGAUGAUCAGCCACACUGGGACUGAGACACGGCCCAGACUCCUACGGGAGGCAGCAGUGGGGAAUAUUGGACAAUGGGCGCAAGCCUGAUCCAGCCAUGCCGCGUGAGUGAUGAAGGCCUUAGGGUUGUAAAGCUCUUUCGCCAGGGACGAUAAUGACGGUACCUGGAUAAGAAGCCCCGGCUAACUUCGUGCCAGCCGCCGCGGUAAUAC
rnacentral:rRNA from 1 species